GACGAACCGUGCGAACGUUGUUCGGAAUCACUGGGCUUAAAGGGCGCGUAGGCGGGCAAGCAAGUCUGGGGUGAAAUCUUUCGGCCCAACCGGAAAAGGGCCUCGGAAACUGCUUGUCUGGAGGAAGGUAGGGGUGUGUGGAACUUCCGGUGGAGCGGUGAAAUGCGUAGAGAUCGGAAGGAACGCCGGUGGCGAAAGCGACGCACUGGACCUUUUCUGACGCUGAGGCGCGAAAGCCAGGGGAGCAAACGGG
rnacentral:rRNA from 1 species